UUUCAAAAUGGCGGCUGCGAGAUCACAUUCAGCUCAACAAGUUGAUCCAGUGGAAAGACUAAAAGAGGAGUACAAGGCGUGGAAACACAGUCAUCCUAUGGACUUCAUUGCUAAUCCUGUAAAGAAGGACGGAGGAGAAACUGACUGGCUAACUUGGAGAUGUGCCAUUCCAGGACCAAAAAGG